CAUCUCAGCAAGUAAUUUUGUCUUGUAUUGAAGACCCAAUCUGUAAUUUUUUAAACAUAUAAAGUGCAGCAGGGGGGAAAAGGAGGACAGAAUCAGUCAUUUCCAGCCGUGUAGAAAUGAAAUGAGGAGGAAAUUGGAGCGGGGUCAGCGCUGAGCGUCGACGGCCUCACUGUCAUUCUCGCCUGGGAAUGUUCACCUCGACAAUAAGUGAGCCACAUCGCAGGAAGAUUCGAAUAUAUUUUAACAAUGCGGGGACUCUGUUGGCAGGUAAGGUAGUGGAGGAAAUGGCAGGAAACAUUUGGUUUGGUUUGGCAAUGAAUCGCUGACAGGUGGCAGGAAAGUGGUGCCAUGUCACUUGAGUCACAUUAUCCAGCCUAAAACAAAGCACUUCAGUGGAUCUAUUCCGCUUUACAUGCUGCCUGUCAACAUUGUAUUCAUACAGUAUUAUUCCCAUUGAAUGUGUAAUGGCUGUACAAUAAAAAAUAUGCCUUUUUUGUUAAUGGCAACACAAAAUAUUGAUUUAUGGAUGAUGAUAAACCCACAGUGGUGUCUGAAUAUCCCCACUGUGUUUACUGGAGACUCUCCUGCUACUUAUAGAAACACAUUUCACCACACACUACCUGAGAGUUUGAAUUAAAUCUGAUACAAGUUUGACAUUUCUCUCAGGCUUUGGAUUGACUGCAACAUUUGAGAAUAUAGGGCAAAAAAAGGCCUUGGAAUUUAAUAAGCUGCAGCAGUUUUUAUUUGCAUGAAUACCACUGGAACUGACUGGUCUUUGCCCUUAUAUUUUGUUUCUCUGCUGUUGUGCACUAAGUUUGUAUCGCUCCAUCCUCCUCUGUUUUAGAGUGGCAGUGUCAAUGUCUCAAAACGUUGUCUUCAGUUCUCUCUUCUCAACAAGCCUCUCAGCUUCUCUCCAGUCCUGUCUAUCUCUCUGUCCUCUGCCAUUUCCCAGGUUGAUUCAAGACUCUUUACAGUUAUUCUUUGUUCCUCACAGUAUGUCAUUAGGAUCUGGGUUGAAAAAGGCAACAUUUUUCCAUCUAAUUGCACAUGCUCCAGUUGCACGAACAGUACAGUCAAACAAUUCCUCGCACGGUACUUAGUGCUGAACGUUUUCAUACAAAUAAAUAUCUGUAGUAUCUUCUACUCACUACUGCUUGCAGACCAGCCUAGUCUUCCAAGGAAUUAAGUUCAUAAUGGGUGAUUCUGCAGGACAUUUACAUCCAGUGCCAACAUUCAGUGCCAGUGCAGACCGUAGUGACCUUUAGGCAGCAUGGCACUGGAGACUGUGUGUCACAUUCUGUCUCAGGCUUUUCUCAACUGCUUUGGCACAAUUCUGAAAUGAUAAUGAAUAUUUUCAAAACAGCAUGUGCAAACCUCCAAAUCUUGUUCACAAUGGAUUUGAAUUUCUCAUUCUUUUAAACAAAUUGUGAAUGUUUUAGCACAUCUAUGCAAACGCGUAAGUACAAUUGUCUACAUAAUAUACAGUAUCUUGCUGAUCAAAACUGAUUAUUUUGCUUCUCGGUUAAAUAGUUGUACUCUCCAAAACACAUAUGAUUUGUUUCAUUGUGUAAUGCACAAUAGUCCAUUCAAUUGUCAAAAUCUGUCAGGCAUAUAUAUAUCAUUGCAGUAAUAUGGAUUUUUUGUAACGUCCGCUAAAUUGGUAAAUUGGUGUAUUACAGUACAGUACAUAUACAGAAAUAUUAUAUAUUUGUGAACUCCAUACUGAGAGAGAUCCAGAGUGCAACCUUAGAGGACAACAGCAUCUUUCAAAAUACCAAUCACUAGCAUCUCUACAAUAGACAGUGUUGAAAAGAUAGACUAGACUAACAUAUUAAAAUAAACAACCCCUCUACCCCUGCACACUCUCUGCUACUAGGGUAUGGAGAGGGGGGAUGGCAGUUUAACAAGGGGGAUGGCAUUCCCCCUCAAAUCACCUACUGACUAUGUGUGCUGCAAUUUCUGAGAAUGGUGUGAGCACACAUACAACACCCAGAAAAUCCUGAUGUUCUUUAACACCCUCUACAGAGAUCUUAUCACUGAGAAUGAGAGAGGUUUGGUAAGGCAUGACUUGACAAAUUUUGUAAUUGUGUGGGAUAAUGUAAGCUUCCACCAUGCAAAUGUCAUCAGGGAAUGGUUUGCUGUCCACCAAAGGAUGUUGAUGUUGUUCCUACCACCAUAUUCUCCAUUCCUGAAUCCAACUGAAUUCUUUUCUGCAUGGAAGUGGAAGGUGCAUGCUCAUCAGUCUCAAGACCAAAUGUCUCUGCUUGCUGCAAUGGAUGCUGCUUGUGAUGACAUCACAGCAGAACAUUGCAGGGGAUGGUUGCGGCAUGCAAAAAGAUUUUCCUCCAUUGAAUCGCAAGGGAAAAUAUCAGGUGUGAUCUGUGGCCAGGACAUCCAGUGAGGUGAAGUCUUUAGUGUAGCACUCCAGCUUUACUGUGUUACAGUGUUAGGCUAUACAUUAUUUUCUUUUUUUUUGUAUUGAUGUAUUUUUGUAUUAUAUUGUGCUGUGUAAGAUUUCUUUUUACUGUGGUGUAAGACAGUUACUUUACGUAAAUAAAAAUACAGUAAC